rnacentral:antisense_RNA from 4 species
CUUGAUCGAGCCGAGCCACAGCGGGCGCUCGGCGGGCCGGUCCUGGCCGUAGGUGGCAAGCAGCGCCUGGGCCUC